UCCGCCCCCGCCCGGGCAGCGAGGAGCCGGAACGGGCCCCGGCAGUGCGGGUUUGCGGAGAGCGUCGCGUCCCGGCGGGGCCGAAGCCCGGGGCUGGGGGGGGCCACAGGCCUCUACGCCCGGUGGGGUCCGUGCCCGGGCGGCGGGGCAGAGCGGCCCGGCCCCGCCAGCGUCGUGGGGCGACGCGAGGCUCGAAGAGGAGGCGCGCGGUGCCCUUGGCGGGAGGCAGCACCAACGCCGAGGUUUCACACCCCCUUCUACGACCUGCCCAUCCAAAUUGACUGUAUGGUCUCUGGGUCUGUACCUUUUCUUCUUCUUACUAUCUGAACCUGAAGCAGCAUCAUCACUGUCCAUUUUUGAAGUGUCCGGUGAAAAGCCAACAUGUGGCGUCAGAGAUUCCCCAGGAUGCAAGUUAGUUUUGCAGCUAGGAGAUGUGUGCUGAAGUGUCCCUGCUGUGUGCCUGUGCUGGCUUUCAGAAGAUGCCUGCUCCUGCCAAUGUUGAGAUACCUCAGUUCCUGAUUGCUGAGAAACCUCCAGUCUUUUUGCUGGCAUUGGAGGUGUUGAUGGUUGCAUCAAGGAAGGGGGUGGUGGUGAUGGCACCUGUGCAGUAUCUAAGAACUGGGACCUUUGAGAUGGACUAGGUAUUGAACCCUUUGGUGAGUAUGUGAUAUGCUGUCGAGCAAAUGUGUCAUGCCUAAUAUUCCCAGGAUUAAAUGAGGAACAGCGGGGACUCUUAGGUUGGUGCUGUCCUGUGGUUUCUUCCAAUUUAUCAUGCUGCUGAAGCACUGCAGUCUUUAAUAAUGAGGAAGUGCUUGAAGGUUUUACAAGUCCUGGAGAACUGGUGUGAGGUUUUACAGCAUUUACUGGGAUCUUACUGUGUUUGUCAUUUUCACUAUGUUCUGUCCUGCUGCUUUCAGGCCCUGGAUGCAGGUUUACAUCUACAGGACUGGGGAAACUUUCAGGGCUCCCCGCAAUCCCAUUAGUUGGUGGAGGAGAAGAGUUUUGUAAUACUUCAUGACUACCUUUGGAAACUUUAGAAGGAGGGGGGCCCUGAUGCCCAUCCCUAUGUUCGCCUUUCCUUUUCCGAUUUCCCAGUUUUUCUGUUUUCGGGGAGUUUAGCUUUUGGAUAUCAUUCCUGCUUUUCAAUUCAUUGAUGGGCUUUGAUCCAGUUACUACAGCAGGUGGCACUUCUGGUUUACAGUUGUGUGCACCACCGUUUGCUGAUCCAGGUGGAUUUGGUAAUCCUCUUGGAACGGAUUCAUUCUGGGUUACAGGUUCUAUUAGUUUUUGCCAAUUCCGUAGCAAUUUCUUGGCACGUUUGGCAAGUUCCUCAUUGGAUGUCUUCUUUCUUACAUCAUUGAUGAGUUUCCCUAAUCUUGUUUCCUAUAAAAAGUGAGAAGAGUUGUUUUACAAAAAUUUAAUUCUGAACAGAUAGCAUGCAAGUCAAAUUGUAAGAUGCAUUUUCACUUGUCAGUGCAUACCGUUCUGCCAAAUAUCAAACCAAAAAUUCACAAAGAAUGUAGGAGCUAAAUAAGAUAUUAUGCCAUUAGUCUUUUUGGAAGGGAUUGAUUCAGCUGACCCCAUGCUCCACCAUUUAGGAAACCUACUGUAAGUUUGAUUAUUUAUCUCCUCUUUCUCCACUGGCUGAAGUGCCAUGGGAGCCAUCUGGGGAGGGUGGUGGGAAAGGAGUCCCUCACUCAAUAGGAACCUCUUGCAGGUGACCAAGGAGCAUGCUCAAGUUCUGGGGAAAGGUGUGCACAACCCCCAACCAGACAAGGUGUGUGUUAACCACCACGGGCAUGUAGAAAGAGGGACAAGAAAUCACAGACCUUAGAGCUGAUAAUCACUCUUGGCUUAUUGUCACAUCCUACUCCACCCUCCAGAGUCAAAGAUAGAAUUUUCCCCAAGUGCUGUGGGAAUGAUUUAUGGGGCCAAUUUAAAUAAAAUUCUUGGGGUGCCUAAACAUGACUUCCCUCAGUUUGCAAGGGAAAUAUCUGAGCCCUUCUUUGUUUUGUGGUUAUACCCAAAACAUUCAUUUGGAAACAUUAGGCAACUGCCCCAGAAAUCAGAUUACAGGUAAGGAAUAUUGGCAUAUAACAUUAGACCAAAGAAAGUGCAGUCUGUGAAGUGAAGCACUAACUCCUUUUGCAUGUUAGAGGGGAUGGGACAUGAUAGGUUUGAAACUGAUAACAGUGGAUACAUUUCAACCUGAGCCAAUUGGAAAUGAAUCAUGAUUAUGACUGGCAUUGGCAGAGCAGUGCUGUGCUGUCCUAGAAAGUAAAAGAUUCCCAAUGAGGAAUGUAAUUGGAUCCCUUUUGAAUACAAGUCAGUUAUGUUUUUCAGAGGCAUGACACUGCCAGUUUAAGUGCAUUCAUCGACAGCAACUGGUGACCUGAAGAAGAGCUCUGCAUAGCUCAAAAGUUGGUCUCUUUCACCAACAGAAGUUUGAAUUCCAAAGCUUUAAAUUUAAAUUAAAUAUUUUAAACAUCUAGGUGCAAAAAAAUCCUCUUUAGCUUUAUGGAUUUAAAAGGGUCCAAAGAGGACCAGCUUGUGCAGUUGCUGUCCCACCAGCAGAGGUACUGGAAGUCAUAAUCUGGUGGUUCUCUCAGUGAUCCCUUUUGUAUACCAAAUCUCACAGAGGGCAUAUGGCAUAAGAGUGAAAAGUGAAUUAACAAUGAAUUACCCAAUGUGUAUGAGUCAGCGUUCUUUAGCUAUAUAGUAUUCUCACAGGGGGAACUAACCUCACAGCCAAUCAACGAUUGGCACUGAAUUGGGCAUAUUUCAAACUAAUUUUAUGGCUAUAUAAAGUGAUGUUAUUCAUGGUAGGUUAUCAAAGAGAAUUAGAAUUUGAGCAAGAAGAAGAAAGUGACCAGUCAUAAGAUACAGAAGUGAUACUGGCUGAAUAAGACAAGGAAUUAACCAGUGGCAAGUAGGGAUUGCUCUGGUCCCUUAUGUGAACAGAAAUUGGAUUGCCCCAUACACCAAUGUAGUUACUCUUCUACUGGUAUAUGAUUCCACCAAGACAACUCUUUCGGUCAUGUACGGAGGUGCCAGAAGGAGGAGUGGGGACUAAUUACUAUAUCUUUGCCUUAAAUUUGUAAUCUUUUGUUGUUUAUCUGUUUUUGUGGAAGAGCUGGAAUACAUUAAAGGGGAUUCAAAAGAUA